UUGCCAGGUAAACCAACGCGAAAAUGUAAAUAAGUUCUCAUUUUACUUUUACCAAAACAAUUACAGUAAUUUCUUAAAUUAAAGUUAAACAAGUAAUAACCAGUAAUGUACCAAAAAUAAUUAUACAAUUCCCAAAAGAAUAGUCUACUAACGUGUGUGCCAAGACCUGGUAUCACAAGUUGUGGACAACUAGUAGAAUAUACAAAAGAAUAAAUCUAUCAUAUUGUCCGAAAUAGAAUAGACAGCAAAAAAAUAAAGAGAGAUUCCAUCAAACUGCUGAACGGCACAGGAAGGGAGCAGUUCACCGUGGAAGUAUCGGAAUGUGCUCAAGAAUGCGCACCAGACUGAUAGCCAUAUGUACCUGCCUCAAAUCCUGCACAAUUAAGUACAAAAGUAUAGUAUGAGUACAUAAACAAUAUGUACCCAGUAACUAUCCUGUCUAAUCUCGAAGAAGUAGAGACGAGAGGUCGACUUGACACUUACUAGGGUCAAAUAAUAUGACAAAUGAAUUAUACUGAGCAUGGAUAGCAUAUAUAAUAAGCAGUUUAUAGCAAGAAGUAACAGGUCCUCUCCUAGAUAAUAUCACAGUUGGCCACUUUCAUUUCCAGGACAAUAAUAAAGCUCAAUUCAUAGAAAAUACUGAGUAAAGCAUGCGCAAGUAGUGCCGAGGUCGUACGGCCCGAUCCAACAUAAAAGUAAAUUGUGCACUACCGAGGGUCGAAUGGCGCGAACCAUAGAUGCAUCUAUUAUCCCGCUCGCGAAUCAAACAUGUGAUGCGGUCAAAUAUAAUUAAACAAUUACAUCAAGCAGGCAGGAAUAUAUGACUGGGGAGCAAUUACUCACAAAAAUAUCAACUACUCUCUAAAAAGGCCAAGAGAGAUAAUGUUUUUCUUACUAGUCUCAUUUACCAUAAUCACCAUGAUUUAAACAAUCCAAAUUAAGCAUAAAGUUUCAGGAAUAUCACAUAAAGCAUGCUUUUGGGUCCAAGACUACCCGAACUUAGCAUAAUAGUAGCUACGCACGUACUCUUGUCACCUAGUGCGUACGUACCCCUCCCCCCCCCCCCAUUUAAUGGAAAAUUAUUUGAUUAUAUCACCUAUGGGGACAAUUCCCUCUUACAAGGUUAGAUAGGAGACUCACCUCGCUCCGAAGCGUACUUCCAAUACCAAGAACGAACUCAAACUAUCAAUUUGGAGUCGAACGAUCCAAAACUAGAUAAACGAGGUAGGAACUAGUCAAUACAAGCUCACAAGAUCGCAUUCUAACUAUUUAAGCACUUUCACAACCUUAAACACAAGUUUCCUAAAAUCUGACCCCGGGCCCAUAUGCCGAGAUUCCAAAAUUUUUCGAAGAAAGUUGUUCUCUAUAACUUAAGGAUCAAUAAUAUGUGAUUUCUACUUCAUUCCCUAACAAAUUUCGUGGUUAAAUCUAAUUUUUAUCAAAACCCUAGGUUUUCACUCAAAACCCAUAAUUUCCACUAAUUUUAGUACGUUAAUCUACCCAAAACUCAAGUAUUAAACUAGAAAUAAGUAGGGUAAACUUACCUCAAGAUGCUAGGUGAAAGUCCUCUCUCAAGAGCUCCAAAAUCGCCCAAUGGGCGAGUGGAAAAUGGCCAAAAUGACUUAGAGUCCGUAAUAAAUGAAGCUCACUGCUUCAGUGAUUUACGCUUCUGCGGUCCUGGGCCGCACCUGCGCCCACCGCAUCUGCGGUCCUGGGCCGCGCCUGCGCCCACUGCAUCUGCGGAAAGGAGCCCACUUCUAUGGAAUCUCAACUGGGCUGCUGGGCCGCAUUUGCGAGAUGCAAGCCGCAUUUGCGGCUCCGCUUCUGCAGAAAAACAACCACUUCUGCGGCUUUGGGCCUGGCCUGGCUUGGCCGCAUCUGUGAGAGGUUGACCGCUUCUGUGGUCUCACACCUACGGCUGACCAACCGCAUAUGCGGUUAUGACAGAUAACUGGAGCUUCAGCUCCUUCCCAAAAUUUCCAACUUCACUCGAGCCUCGUCCGAUUGACACUCUGGGCUCUUGGGCCCCGCCCGAACAUACUGACAAGUUUGAAAUCAUGAAACGGACUUGCUCGAACCUUCGGAACUCCCGAAACAACACUAAAUCUAAGAAUCACCCACUAAAACCAAUUGGGUCAAACUUAUGAACUUCAAGUUCUUCAAUUCACUUCUAACGUGCCGAAACAUACUUAUACUACUCGGAUUGACACCAAAUUUUGCGGCCAAGUCUUAAAUGUUAUAUUGAACUUGUACUGGGCUCCGGAACCAACAUACGAGCCUGAUACCAACGUGAUCAAUCAUUAUUUAGUAUCUUUAAAUCCUUAGAAUUUCAGUUUAAUAAUUUUUAAUAAAAAUUCAUUACUCGGUCUAGGGACCUCGAAAUUUCAUUCCGCACAUAUGCCCAGGUCCCUCCGGAAUUGUCAAAACACGAAUCCGUGUCCGUUUGCUAAACAUAUUAACCAAGGUCAAACUUAGCCUUUUAAGAAAAUCUUAAGGAAUCAAAUGAGCCUAUUCCAACCCAAACUCUUCCAAAUCCCGAACCAAUCAUGUCCACAGGUCGUAAAUCAGUUAAAGCAAGCGCGGGAAGUUUCAUUUAGGGGAACGUAGUUCUAAAAAGCAAAACGACCAGUCGGGUUGUUACAUUCUCCACCUCUUAAACAAACGUUCGUCCUCAAACGGACAUAGAAAAGUACUUGAGGUGCUGAAUAAAUGUGGAUAUCUGCUCCGUACGUCCUCCUCGGACUCCCAGGUCGCCUCCUCGACUGGUUGGCCCUUCCACUGGACCAUCACCACUGAAAUCUUCUUGGAUCUUAACUGGAGUUCCUGGCUAUCAAUAAUGGCAACUGGCUCCUUCUCAUAACUUAGACUCUCAUCCAACUGAAUAGUACUGAAGUCUAAAACAUGGGACAAGUCGACAUGAUACCUCCGAAGCAUAGACUUGUGAAAAACUGGGUGAACUCCCGAUAAACUGGGGAGUAAAGCAAGCUCGUAAGCAACCUCCCCAACUCGCCUCGACACCUCAAAUAUGCCAAUAAACCUUGGGCUCAGCUUUCCCUUCUUCCCGAACCUCAUAAAACUCUUCAUUGGCGAGACUUUCAAGAGGACCUUCUCGCCAACCAUGAAUGAUACAUCACGCGCCCUCUGAUCCGCGUAACUCUUCUAUCUGGACUGAGCUAUCCGAAGCCUCUCCUGAAUCAACUUUACCUUGUGCAAGGCAUCUUACACCAAAUCUGUACCAUAUAGCUUAGCUUCACCAAGCUCAAACCACCCGAUAGGAUAACGACACUAUCGACCGUAUAAAGCCUCAAAUGGGGUCAUCUUAAUGCUGGACUAAUAGCUAUUGUUGUAAGCGAACUCUGCCAAAGGCAAGAACUGAUCCCACUGACCUCCAAAGUCAAUCACACAUGCUCUAAGCAUGUCCUCCAAAAUUUGAACUAUCCGCUCUGACUGCCCAUCGGUCUGAGGAUGGAAUGUUGUGCUAAGCUCUACACGGGUCCCCAACUCACUUUGAACGGCUCUCCAGAAAUGGUAAGUGAACUAAGGGCCUCUAUCUGAUACGAUGGCGACGAGCACACCGUGCAACCUGACUAUCUCCCGAAUGUAAAUCUGGGUCAAUCUCUCUGAAGUGUAAGUAAUCACAACCGAAAUAAAGUGCACUGACUUGGUCAACCUGUCAACAAUGACCCAUACUGCAUCAAAUUUCCACAAAGUCCGGGGCAACCCAACUACGAAGUCCAUAGUAAUGCGCUCCCACUUCCACUCUGGUAUAGACAUCUGCUGAAGUAGGCCACCCGGCCUCUGGUGCUCAUACUUAACCUACUGGCAAUUCAAGCACUUAGCCACAUACUCCACUAUGUCCUUCUUCAUUCUCCGCCACCAAUAAUACUGUCUCAAGUCACGAUACAUCUUCGUCGCACCCAAAUGGAAUACCGUGAACUGUGUAACUUCUCUAGUAUCCUCUCCCUCAGACCGUCAACAUUAGGAACACAUAGGUGACCCUGGAGUCACAAAACACCAUCCUCGCUAAUAGAAACCUCUUUGGCACUACCCUGAAGCACUGUCUCUCUGAGAACCACCAAAUGUGGAUCAUCGAACUGUCGGGCCUUGAUCUGCCCCAAUAAUGAAGACUGAGCAACAACGCACGUAAGAACUAGGCUAGGCUCCAAAAUAUCCAACCUCACAAGUCUGUUAGCCAAGGACUGAAUGUCAAAGCUAGUGGACUCUCCUCUGCUGGAAUGAAUGCCAAGCUAUCCAUACUCUCUGCUUUCCUACUUAAGGCAUCCGCGACCACAUUUGCCUUGCCCAGAUAAUAAAGAAUGGUGAUGUCAUAAUCCUUCAGUAACUCAAGCCAUCUACGCUGCCUCAAAUUGAGAUCCCUCUGCUAGAACAAAUGACGUAAGCUACGAUGAUCAGUAUAAACCUCGCAUGACACCCCAUAUAGAUAAUGCAUCCAUAUCUUAAGAGCAUGAACAAUCGCGGCCAACUCCAAAUCGUGCAUAGGAUAAUUCUUCUCAUAGAUCUUCAACUGACGCAAAGCAUAUGCAAUAACUCGCCCUUCCUACAUCAAUACGUAUCCCAAUCCAACGCACGAAGCGUUGCAGUAUACCGUAUACAUCCCUGAACAGGAAGGCAAUACAAGAACUGGUGUUGUAGUCAAAGCUGUCUUGAGCUUCUGAAAUCUUGCCUCACAAUCAUCGGACCAACGGAAAAGAGCACCCUUCUAGGUCAAUCUAGUUAGAGGUGAUGCAAUAGAUGAAAAGCCCUGCACGAAUUGUCUGUAAUAACCUGCUAACCCCAAGAAACUCCUGAUCUCGGUCAUUGAAGUAGGACGUGGCCAACUUUGAACUGCCUCAAUCUUCUUGGGAUCCACCUUAAUACCCUCUCCUGACACAAUAUGCCCCAAGAAUGCCAUUAACUCUAGCCAAAACUCACACUUGGAGAACUUAGCAUAUAGUUUUUGCUCUCGCAAGGUCUGAAGCACUACUCUCAAAUGUUGCCCAAGCUCCCCCAGGCUACGGGAGUAUAUCCAGAUGUCGUCAAUGAAGACAAUGACAAAGAAGUCAAUAUAAGGUCCGAACACCCUGUUCAUCAAGUCCAUAAAUGCUGCUGGGGCAUUAGUCAAGCCAAAGGACAUCACCAGGAACUCAUAAUGGCCAUAUCUAGUCCGAAAUGUAGUCUUCGGAACAUCCGAGUCUCGAAUCUUCAACUGAUGGUACCCUGACCUCAAGUUGAUCUUAGAGAACACCCUAGCACCCUGCAACUGGUCAAAUAAAUCAUCGAUAUGAGGCAAUGGAUACCUGUUCUUGAUGGUGACUUUGUUCAACUAGCGGUAAUCAAUGCACAUUCGCAUAGUCCCAUCCUUCUUCUUCACAAAUAACACUGGUGCCCUCCAAGGUGAUACACUAGGUCUAACAAAACCUUUUGCUAACAACUCCUCAAGCUGCUCCUUCAACUUCUUUAACUCUUUAGGAGCCAUACGGUACGGUGGGAUAGAUAUAGGCUGGGUGCCUAGAGCCAAAUCAAUAUAGAAAUCAAUAUCACGAUCUGGUGGCAUGCCAGGAAGAUCAUAAGGAAACACAUCGGCGAACUACCGUACUACUAGAACUGAAUCAAUCGUCGGAGACUCUGCGGUAGUGUCCCGAACAUAAGCCAAAUACGCCAAACACCCCUUCUCGACCAUAUGACGAGCCUUCAGGAAAGAGAUAACUCGGCUAGAUAUACCAAAUAUGGAACCCUUCCACUCCAACCUUGGCAACCCUGGCAUUGCUAAUGUAACGGUCUUGGCAUGGCAAUCUUGGAUGGCGUGAUAUGGAGACAACCAACCCAUGCCCAAGAUGAUCUCAAAGUCGAUCAUAUCAAGCAACAGAAAAUCUGCUCUAGUCUCGAAACCACAGAAUAUGACCACACAUGACCGGUAGAUCUGAUCCACAACCACAGAAUCGCCCGUAGGAGUGGACACAUGAACAGGAGUGCCCAAAGGCGCAGGAGGAAUAACUAGGAAACGAGUAAAUAAAGAUUAUACAUAUGAAUAGGUGGACCCUGGAUUAAAUAAUAGCAAAACAUCUUUCACACCUCCUUUUUCAACCCUGAAAGGGAGUAUAAGAGAGUUUUUCCAAUUAAAGUGACCAUCGAAAUGAUAUUAUUCUAUUUAGAAAUCAAAGUCACCACUUGGGAUAAUUUAUGGUGUCCCAAGUCAUUGGUUCAAAUCCCGAAUCGAGGAAAGAUUGACUCUGUUUCACAGUCCGCGAACACAGAAAUCCAAGUAAGGAAUUCUGUUAACUCGUGAGAAGGUGUUAGGCAUUUCCAGGUUCCGUGGUUUUAGCAUGGUCGCUCAACUGUUAAUAUUGGCCUGUUUAUUUGAUUUUAAAAUAUUUUUGAAACCUAUGUGCAUUUUAUUCCUUUUAAAAACCGUUUCAGAAAUCCACGAUUGUCAUACAAUUAACUGUUGAUUACAUAUUUGCGAAUCAUGUCACGGGAACCGUACCCACGAUCCACACUGUGUUUAUUUUAUUAAAAUUAAAUUGUGGCUAGGUCACAUAAAUUUACCCCCCGGAUUUUAGAGGUUAAGCGUCACAACUACGUCAAGGGAACCGUACCCGUAGCUAUGACAAUUAUUUAAUUAACGACCCUAAAGCAAACUGCGAGAGUUCGAGGCAUUUUCCACACUGUUCUUGUAUUUUUGUGAGGGCCAUAAAUUAUAUGAUUUGUGUAUGGCGCACCUCAAAUUUAUUUUUAAAGGAAACGAUUUGUAAUUUGGAAGGCCAACUAAAGAUGUUCCUACUUUAAUCUAAUUUAAAAUUAGUUAUCACAACCACGUCACGGGAACUGUACCCGUAGUCGUGAUGAUUUAAUUACGUGCCUAAGGUAAACUACAAGGGAUUAUGUUUGAACUAAAAUUGGAAUUGCAAAGGGACUAUCGGUUGAAAACCUUUACGAAGAAGAUGGAUCAGGCCCUAAAGCAUUUGUGGAAAUUGGCUGAAGUAUAGUACAUUGGAUGAAAACAUGUUCUAAUAAACUCUUUGUCCCAAAAUCCGAUCAAGCCCAAGCCACAUUUUAGAUGAAAUCGGCCCGUUUGGCCUUAAAAGAAUUGUGAUCCUUUUCCCCAAGAUUUCUUCUAUUUUUUAACACAGGAUAACAACACAAUAAUGAAUAACAUAUACUGAGGUAACCAAAAGCAUAAAUCAAUCAAGGAAAACUACACAAACCAUUUAACAUGGAAUAAGAUAAAAUGACAAUUAAAGAAGGGAAAUGAAUCAUGGUCUUUUAAUCCUAUGGCCCUUUUUACAUGCUCAAUGAUUUUAUAUCUUCCUUUGACUAACAGUCUUUCACCAUCAACUAGAUAUUCUCAUGGACAAAAGCAACAAAUUCGAAACACUUGAGCAAUUCAAACCCUGCUUCUAAUUACGAAGUAAAACCAAGAUAUCAAGACAACAUAACAAUGACCCUUAUUUGAAAAUCUAGAUGCAACUGUGAUAACCAUACAUCAAACUUCAUUCAAAACCUUAUUACAAAAAGUUGUAAUGUCUCUAACACAAUUUCAAAACCAAAAUUACAUAGGCAGACUCCCAAUCACAUUGUAUAUCCACUUGGUUCAAGAAUUCAAUAUUUUUUCCCCUUUAUGAGAUUUUCAACACAAACAGAAGGCGGAUCCUAAAAACGCAGAUGUAACAAUUACAACUUCAUGCUCAAGAAACAAACCUACAUCUAUUGAUGAACACAGUAUAACCAUGGCAGGCAGAAGAGAAUAUAUACAAAUUGACUGAACUUAGAAGCCAAUUACUAAAAAGAAUUUGAUAACUCAUUACAUCAACUUCAACACAUGCAUCUUCAUAUUUAAUUCACACUCCAAGGAUUUAAAAGAGUACCUGUAUACAGCAAAACAAAAGAAAACCAGAAGAAAUGUGUCUAAGAUCAGUUUAUGACAACCAAGAAAUAACGGAGCUCAGCAGCAAAGGAACAACAAUGGUAAUCAACCAAUAACCUCAAUAAUCAGCCAUGUUUCAGCUUUGGAAACCCGAAAAAAUCCCCAGAAAAGUCAACCCAAAACUUUUUGCCAAAGGAAAAUGAAGCUCAAAACUAGAUAGUUUUAUCAGAAAAAGAUUUUUAGUCGUUUCUCUUUUUGGUGAGUCUUAGUCUCUGCCCUAGAAAUGAGGAGAAUGAGCCACUUAUAGCAAGCUUUAGGGCAGCAAAAUUGAUUUUAAACUUUUACUAUUACCCCUUC
rnacentral:lncRNA from 1 species